UGUAGUCAUAUGCUUGUCUCAAAGAUUAAGCCAUGCAUGUCUAAGUAUAAACGCUUUAUACUGUGAAACUGCGAAUGGCUCAUUAUAUCAGUAAUAGUUUAUUUGAUGGUCCCUUACUACUUGGAUACCCGUAGUAAUUCUAGAGCUAAUACAUGCACUACAGUCCCACCUGCUUCGGCGGACGGGAUGUGUUUAUUAGAUCGAAACCAAUGCGGCGCAAGCCGGUGUUGUGGUGAUUCAUGAUAACUUUGCGAAUCGCAUGCCCUCUGUGGCGGCGAUGUUUCAUUCAAGUUUCUGCCCUAUCAGCUUUGGAUGGUAGGGUAUUGGCCUACCAUGGCUUUAACGGGUAACGGGGAAUUGGGGUUCGAUUCCGGAGAGGGAGCCUGAGAGACGGCUACCACAUCCAAGGGAGGCAGCAGGCGCGUAAAUUACCCAAUCCUGACUCAGGGAGGUAGUGACAAUAAAUAACAAUGCCGGGCUCUUCGAGUCUGGCAAUUGGAAUGAGAACAAUUUAAAUCCCUUAUCGAGGAUCAAUUGGAGGGCAAGUCUGGUAAUCG
rnacentral:rRNA from 1 species